GACAAACGCUGGCGGCGUGCAUAAAACAUGCAAGUCGAACGGACUUCAGUCCGCAAGGACUGAAGUGAGUGGCGAACGGCUGAGUAACACGUAGGUGACCUGCCCCGAAGUUUGGGAUAACACCUCGAAAGAGGUGCUAAUACCGGAUGUGACCACCGAUUCAUUUCGGUGCUUAAAGUCGCAAGACGCUUUGGGAGGGGCCUGCGGCGGAUUAGCUAGUUGGUGUGGAACGGCACACCAAGGCUUCGAUCCGUAGCUGGUCUGAGAGGAUGGGCCAGCCAGACUGGGACUGAGACACGGCCCAGACUCCUACGGGAGGCAGCAGUUAGGAAUUUGCGCAAUGGAGGAAACUCUGACGCAGCCACGCCGCGUGAGGGAUGAAGGCCUCGGGUCGUAACC
rnacentral:rRNA from 1 species